AAGCAGAGGGGGCUUAGUGGUGGGGUGACUGCGUACCUUUUGUAUAAUGGGUCAGCGACUUAUAUUCUGUAGCAAGGUUAACCGAAUAGGGGAGCCGGAGGGAAACCGAGUCUUAAUUGGGCGUUAAGUUGCAGGGUAUAGACCCGAAACCCGGUGAUCUAGCCAUGGGCAGGUUGAAGGUUGGGUAACACUAACUGGAGGACCGAACCGACUAAUGUUGAAAAAUUAGCGGAUGACCUGUGGCUGGGGGUGAAAGGCCAAUCAAACCGGGAGAUAGCUGGUUCUCCCCGAAAGCUAUUUAGGUAGCGCCUCGUGAACUCAUCUCCGGGGGUAGAGCACUGUUUCGGCUAGGGGGCCAUCCCGGCUUACCAACCCGAUGCAAACUGCGAAUACCGGAGAAUGUUAUCACGGGAGACACACGGCGGGUGCUAACGUCCGUCGUGAAGAGGGAAACAACCCAGACCGCCAGCUAAGGUCCCAAAGUCAUGGUUAAGUGGGAAACGAUGUGGGAAGGCCCAGACAGCCAGGAUGUUGGCUUAGAAGCAGCCAUCAUUUAAAGAAAGCGUAAUAGCUCACUGGUCGAGUCGGCCUGCGCGGAAGAUGUAACGGGGCUAAACCAUGCACCGAAGCUGCGGCAGCGACGCUGAUGCGUUGUUGGGUAGGGGAGCGUUCUGUAAGCCUGUGAAGGUGUGUCGUGAGGCAUGCUGGAGGUAUCAGAAGUGCGAAUGCUGACAUAAGUAACGAUAAAGCGGGUGAAAAGCCCGCUCGCCGGAAGACCAAGGGUUCCUGUCCAACGUUAAUCGGGGCAGGGUGAGUCGACCCCUAAGGCGAGGCCGAAAGGCGUAGUCGAUGGGAAACGGGUUAAUAUUCCCGUACUUGGUGUUACUGCGAAGGGGGGACGGAGAAGGCUAUGUUGGCCGGGCGACGGUUGUCCCGGUUUAAGCGUGUAGGUGUGUGUUCCAGGUAAAUCCGGUUCACUUUAACACUGAGGCGUGAUGACGAGGCACUACGGUGCUGAAGCAACAAAUGCCCUGCUUCCAGGAAAAGCCUCUAAGCAUCAGGUAACAUCAAAUCGUACCCCAAACCGACACAGGUGGUCAGGUAGAGAAUACCAAGGCGCUUGAGAGAACUCGGGUGAAGGAACUAGGCAAAAUGGUGCCGUAACUUCGGGAGAAGGCACGCUGACACGUAGGUGAAGUGAUUUACUCAUGGAGCUGAAGUCAGUCGAAGAUACCAGCUGGCUGCAACUGUUUAUUAAAAACACAGCACUGUGCAAACACGAAAGUGGACGUAUACGGUGUGACGCCUGCCCGGUGCCGGAAGGUUAAUUGAUGGGGUCAGCGCAAGCGAAGCUCCUGAUCGAAGCCCCGGUAAACGGCGGCCGUAACUAUAACGGUCCUAAGGUAGCGAAAUUCCUUGUCGGGUAAGUUCCGACCUGCACGAAUGGCGUAAUGAUGGCCAGGCUGUCUCCACCCGAGACUCAGUGAAAUUGAACUCGCUGUGAAGAUGCAGUGUACCCGCGGCAAGACGGAAAGACCCCGUGAACCUUUACUAUAGCUUGACACUGAACAUUGAGCCUUGAUGUGUAG
rnacentral:rRNA from 2 species